rnacentral:rRNA from 1 species
UGGGGAAUAUUUCACAAUUGGCGCAAGCCUUAUGCAGCCAUGCCGCGUGUAUGAAGAAGGCCUUCGGGUUGUAAAGUACUUUCAGCGGGGAGGAAGGGAGUAAAGUUAAUACCUUUGCUCAUUGACGUUACCCGCAGAAGAAGCACCGGCUAACUCCGUGCCAGCAGCCGCGGUAAUACGGAGGGUGCAAGCGUUAAUCGGAAUUACUGGGCGUAAAGCGCACGCAGGCGGUUUGUUAAGUCAGAUGUGAAAUCCCCGGGCUCAACCUGGGAACUGCAUCUGAUACUGGCAAGCUUGAGUCUCGUAGAGGGGGGUAGAAUUCCAGGUGUAGCGGUGAAAUGCGUAGAGAUCUGGAGGAAUACCGGUGGCGAAGGCGGCCCCCUGGACGAAGACUGACGCUCAGGUGCGAAAGCGUGGGGAGCAAACAGG